GAGACAUCCUUAUGAGACAAGCCUUGCUUCAGUGGGGCUUUGGUGCUCACUGAGUCUGCCCCCUGAGUGUGUCCCU
rfam:Myotis lucifugus cont2.8244, whole genome shotgun sequence.